rnacentral:rRNA from 1 species
AUUAUGGCUCAGGAUGAACGCUAGCUACAGGCCUAACACAUGCAAGUCGAGGGGAAACGGCAGCUUAGCUUGCUAAGCUGGACGUCGACCGGCGCACGGGUGAGUAACGCGUAUCCAACCUGCCCCACGGUGAGGGAUAACCCGCGGAAACGCGGCCUAAUACCUCAUGGUCUCCGAGCUUGACAUCAAUCUUGGAGUAAAGAUUCAUUGCCGUGGGAUGGGGAUGCGUCUGAUUAGCUUGUUGGCGGGGCAACGGCCCACCAGGGCAACGAUCAGUAGGGGUUCUGAGAGGAAAGCCCCCCACAUUGGAACUGAGACACGGUCCAAACUCCUACGGGAGGCAGCAGUGAGGAAUAUUGGUCAAUGGGCGAGAGCCUGAACCAGCCAAGUAGCGUGCAGGAAGACGGCCCUAUGGGUUGUAAACUGCUUUUAUGCGGGGAUAAAGCGGGCGACGUGUCGCCCUUUGCAGGUACCGCAUGAAUAAGGACCGGCUAAUUCCGUGCCAGCAGCCGCGGUAAUACGGAAGGUCCGGGCGUUAUCCGGAUUUAUUGGGUUUAAAGGGAGCGCAGGCCGGGUAUUAAGCGUGUUGUGAAAUGUAGGCGCCCAACGUCUGCACCGCAGCGCGAACUGGUGCCCUUGAGUACGCACGACGUUGGCGGAAUUCGCCGUGUAGCGGUGAAAUGCUUAGAUAUGGCGAAGAACUCCGAUUGCGAAGGCAGCUGACGGGAGCGCUACUGACGCUCAUGCUCGAAAGCGCGGGUAUCGAACAGGAUUAGAUACCCUGGUAGUCCGCGCGGUAAACGAUGGAUGCCCGCUAUUUGCGCAUUAGCGCAAGUGGCCAAGUGAGAACGUUAAGCAUCCCACCUGGGGAGUACGCCGGCAACGGUGCAACUCAAAGGAAUUGACGG